UACGAAGGGGGCUAGCGUUGCUCGGAAUCACUGGGCGUAAAGGGCGCGUAGGCGGCCAUUCAAGUCAGAGGUGAAAUCCUGGAGCUCAACUCCAGAACUGCCUUCGAUACUGGAGAGCUUGAGUCCGGGAGAGGUGAGUGGAACUGCGAGUGUAGAGGUGAAAUUCGUAGAUAUUCGCAAGAACACCAGUGGCGAAGGCGGCUCACUGGCCCGGUACUGACGCUGAGGUGCGAAAGCGUGGGGAGCAAACAGG
rnacentral:rRNA from 1 species